UUAGCAUGUUAAUAAUGAAUAGGACGUGUGGUUCUAUUUUGUUGGUUUCUAGGACCGCCGUAAUGAUUAAUAGGGACAGUCGGGGGCAUCAGUAUUCAAUUGUCAGAGGUGAAAUUCUUGGAUUUAUUGAAGACUAACUACUGCGAAAGCAUUUGCCAAGGAUGUUUUCAUUUAUCAGGAACGAAAGUUAGGGGAUCGAAGACGAUCAGAUACCGUCGUAGUCUUAACCAUAAACUAUGCCGACUAGGGAUCGGACGAUGUUAUUUUUUGACUCGUUCGGCACCUUACGAGAAAUCAAAGUGCUUGGGCUCCAGGGGGAGUAUGGUCGCAAGGCUGAAACUUAAAGAAAUUGACGGAAGGGCACCACCAGGGGUGGAGCCUGCGGCUUAAUUUGACUCAACACGGGGAAACUCACCAGGUCCAGA
rnacentral:rRNA from 1 species